UGGCGCCUGGCAGGGAGGAGGCAGAGCUUGUGGCAUCACACUGCCCUGAGCUCUUCAGAGACCCCACACUACACGCAGUCUCCCCACAAGCCCCUGGUCUACCACACAGUGAGAACUGCACGGCGGGGCACAGGCUGGAGCCACAGACACAGGCAAGCUGUGUCCCACUGCAGGUGGCCUUGCCUCGUCACACAGGGACUCACCGACCGCCCUCAGGGCCCUGCACCGGCACCAGCAUCCCUGCCCUGCCCUCCACUGCUCACGGGCUUGGCCGGGGGGACGGGGAGGCAGGGCAAGCCCCCAGGAGCCCACUGCCGCAGCCCAGGCCCCGUCUCCAGCCCUGCCAGCCUCCUCCUCCGUGAGCACAGGUGGGCCUGAGGCCUGCCCAAGCCCCUCGGGGUCACAGCUCUCCUCACAGGGUCCUUCCUCAUCUGACGGGGACAAGGUGCCUGGGGCCAAGGGGGAGAGGAAAAGCUGCCCCCACCCCUGACCCCACCGUGUUCCACCUGAUGAGGCCAAGGAGGAGAGGAAAAGCUGCCCCCACCCCUGACCCCACCGUGUUCCACCUGAUGAGGCCAAGGAGGAGAGGAAAAGCUGCCCCUACCCCUGACCCCACCGUGUUCCACCUGAUGAGGCCAAGGAGGAGAGGAAUAGCUGCCUCCACCCGGACCUCACUGUGUUCCACCUGAUGAGCAGCGAUGGCACCUGCACCCCAGAGCUGGACGUGCUAGCGGCCAGGACAUCCCAGAGGAAGACGGCGUCCCCUGCGCUGAGGACCUGCUGCUGGUCAGGAGAGAAGGCCACAGCCUGCACGGGCUCCGAGUGGCCGAUGUACACCUAGGGGUAGUGGCGUCACAUGCAGGACCCCGAGGCGGGGCAUGGAUGCUGCCGUGUGCCCAGUCCCCAGGGACGGUGAGCCCCACACAGUGAGAGGCUCCGGAGGCACAGAGGAUCCUUGGGGGGUCACUCUCACCCCUCACCUUCUGCUCUCCCUGCCCCCACCCACACCUGCAGGGGUCUUCAGGGCCACCUGAGGAGGCUCCUGACUGCCAAAGCCACCUGCCUCCCCACGCACACACCUGGGGGCCUGAGCUGGCCUGUGUCGCGUAGUCCCACACCUUGAUGGUCCGGCCGGCGGCAAUCAGCAGGAAGCGGGCGUCCUCACUGAGCGUCAAGGAGGGGCAGGGCUCAGGGUGGACACCGGGCAGCUGGAACACAGUGCUCUUGGGAAAUGCCGUGUCUCGGGAGAGUGGCCAGCAGCCUGGGGCCUCCCUUCGUUGUGGGUGUGGCGACGACGGCCCCCCACCCAGCUGGAGGGUCUGCAGGCACAGAGGCCAGGCCUGGACAGCACAGGGAGGGCCAGGUCGGUGGGCCACAGCCCUGAGGCUCACCUCCCGGAUGAUGCGGCCCGACACAGCAUCCAGCACCACGACUCUGUUGGACGAGGUGGACACCAGCAGGUGGCCCAGAGCUGCAGGGCCAAAGCACACAGCCAUGGCUGAGUCCAGGCGGCUGCUGGCCAGGUCCAGAGUGCCGAUGUCAACUCGCAGCAGCUGGUGGUAGUGGACCCAGUCAGUGGACCAGGAAACCGGCAUGUGUGUCCAGGUGUUGGCCUGCACCAGACCCAGGCCUCCCCCGCCCUGAGGAGUCCCCCAGAGUGGCUGCAGGGGGCCCAACCUGCCACUCGGAGGACAUGCCACUGG